UACGUAGGGCGCGAGCGUUGUCCGGAUUUAUUGGGCGUAAAGAGCUCGUAGGCGGCUCAUCGCGUCAACCGUGAAAACCAGCAGCUCAACUGUUGGCUUGCGGUUGAUACGGGUGGGCUGGAGUUCGGUAGGGGAGACUGGAAUUCCUGGUGUAGCGGUGAAAUGCGCAGAUAUCAGGAGGAACACCGGUGGCGAAGGCGGGUCUCUGGGCCGAUACUGACGCUGGAGGCGCGGAAAGCCUAGGGGAGCAAACGGG
rnacentral:rRNA from 1 species